rnacentral:piRNA from 1 species
UGCAAAGCCAGGUGAAGGAUACUGGUUCA